CGAGCGAACAGACGAGGAGCUUGCUCCUCUAACGUUAGCGGCGGACGGGUGAGUAACACGUGGAUAACCUACCUAUAAGACUGGGAUAACUUCGGGAAACCGGAGCUAAUACCGGAUAAUAUAUUGAACCGCAUGGUUCAAUAGUGAAAGACGGUUUUGCUGUCACUUAUAGAUGGAUCCGCGCCGCAUUAGCUAGUUGGUAAGGUAACGGCUUACCAAGGCAACGAUGCGUAGCCGACCUGAGAGGGUGAUCGGCCACACUGGAACUGAGACACGGUCCAGACUCCUACGGGAGGCAGCAGUAGGGAAUCUUCCGCAAUGGGCGAAAGCCUGACGGAGCAACGCCGCGUGAGUGAUGAAGGUCUUCGGAUCGUAAAACUCUGUUAUUAGGGAAGAACAAAUGUGUAAGUAACUAUGCACGUCUUGACGGUACCUAAUCAGAAAGCCACGGCUAACUACGUGCCAGCAGCCGCGGUAAUACGUAGGUGGCAAGCGUUAUCCGGAAUUAUUGGGCGUAAAGCGCGCGUAGGCGGUUUUUUAAGUCUGAUGUGAAAGCCCACGGCUCAACCGUGGAGGGUCAUUGGAAACUGGAAAACUUGAGUGCAGAAGAGGAAAGUGGAAUUCCAUGUGUAGCGGUGAAAUGCGCAGAGAUAUGG
rnacentral:rRNA from 1 species